UAGUUAAAUAGUUUACUUCUUUCUGGACU
rnacentral:piRNA from 1 species